AUUGAACGCUGGCGGCAUGCUUUACACAUGCAAGUCGAACGGCAGCGCGGGGGCAACCCUGGCGGCGAGUGGCGAACGGGUGAGUAAUGCAUCGGAACGUAUCCUGUAAUGGGGGAUAACGUAGCGAAAGUUACGCUAAUACCGCAUACGCUCGAGAGAGGAAAGUGGGGGAUCGCAAGACCUCACGUUAUAGGAGCGGCCGAUGUCCGAUUAGCUAGUUGGUGGGGUAAAGGCCUACCAAGGCGACGAUCGGUAGCUGGUCUGAGAGGAUGAUCAGCCACACUGGGACUGAGACACGGCCCAGACUCCUACGGGAGGCAGCAGUGGGAAUUUUGGACAAUGGGCGAAAGCCUGAUCCAGCCAUGCCGCGUGCGGGAAGAAGGCCUC
rnacentral:rRNA from 1 species